UAUAAGAGGACAUCACUCGCGGUUCGUAACUCACACUUCAUCCGACUUCUAGGGUUCCCGCCGCUGUGCAAUAUCGUAUCCGUAGUUCCAUCGCUAUGGAUUUUUCUUGGAAUGCGGAUGUUUGGAUUGGAUGCGGUGUUCAUAAAUUGCUUCGUCAGAUGCGGAUGUUUGGGUGAGGAUUAUUCAUUGGUUUUGUUUCCGUCGUAGUGAUUUAGGGCUUUUGUGACUAAAUUAUAUCGACCUUUUAUUUCGAUUCCGAUUGAAUUCUUGGGAAUAUGAUUCGAUUUCAUUUCCAUGAUUUUCUUUUUCUCGAUCCGAUAAGAUUGGAUGCGGUGUUCAUAAAUUGCUUCGUCAGAUGGUCUAUGCGGAUAUAUUUCAGUUCCCAUACGACUCGUUCCCUUGAAGCAAAAUCAAUCGUGUUGCGUGCUUUUUUAUAUCUCUCCCUAAUCAUGAGAGUAUUCUGUGUUCAUCUCGUUGAAGUGGGAGUACACUGGAGCAACUACAAUUGAUCUGAAUUUGUAUCUUAGAAUUCGAAGAACGGUGAUGAGUAAUUUGCAGACCUGUAAUGAUUGCGGUGAUGAUCGCACAUCAUUAUGAACAUCUAAGGGACUGAGUUCUUCCUUUUUUUCCUCAUACAGUUUUUUGUUCUAAUUAUUGUGCAAUUGACUUUGUUUAUUGAGGUAAACCUUCGUCUUUGAAAUAUCUAAUGGCGAAGCGUGAUAUGGAGGAUGAAGCCCACAUAAAUAUGUUUUUCUCGAUUGCUCUCUCGAUCUGGAUAUCGCUUGGUUUAAUGACACAAUCGCUGAAAUAGGGAGAUCUGGCGAUUGCUUCCAUAUCUCUAGUCGAGUAUUUAUAGGGAGGGGCCGGUGAUGAUGAGUUUAAAUGGUUGAUGCUGAAAUUCAAAAACAGUAAUGUUGAGAAAUUGCUUGAACUAGGACGGUCUGAGGCUCCUCUAUUAUCUAUGUAUUGGGAAUUUGAUAGGCUAAUGGUGUUCGUGGAUGAUGAUUAACAUUUCAA